UUGUAAAUGUGUAGACUCCUCAGGAUGGAACUAACUUGAGCCUUUUGUCCCGUAGCUGCUGAGGCUCACUGCCCCCCACCAAUGGGCAGUGAGUCAGUGGGUC
rfam:Vicugna pacos cont1.449613, whole genome shotgun sequence.